AUAAUGCAGAGGCCUUUUCCAGAGUUUCUAUUGAGGUCAUUGAAGAUAUUAGGGAUGAAGUAAAUGCUUUUAGAAGAUGAAGUAAAUGUUUGUGAUCCAUUGAACCUAGUUAUCAAA